UAUGGAACUGUCAGGCUUUGUGCUGCCUU
rnacentral:sRNA from 1 species